rnacentral:rRNA from 1 species
UACGAAGGGGGCAAGCGUUGUUCGGAAUUAUUGGGCGUAAAGGGUCCGUAGGCGGUGCGGUAAGUCGGGAGUGAAAUCUCUGGGCUUAACUCAGAGGCUGCUUCCGAAACUACCGUGCUAGAGUGCGAGAGAGGCAAGUGGAAUUGCGGGUGUAGCGGUGAAAUGCGUAGAUAUCCGCAGGAACAUCCGAGGCGAAAGCGGCUUGCUGGAUCGCAACUGACGCUGAGGGACGAAAGCUAGGGGAGCAAACAGG